rnacentral:misc_RNA from 1 species
AAAAUUUACUAGGUUCGUGUGAACUAAUAAUAAACCCUCUAGAUAUGCCCCUCCCUUGAAAAUUUCAGAUUUGAUUUUGGCCUCUAUACGAUAAAAUUAUCGAUCAUAUGUUGUAUAACAUCAGCACCUUCGGCAUCUAUUUUUUGAUCCUUCACCUGAAUAACAGUGUGAGAAGCAAACCUACGCCUGAUCCUGUGAAAGCUAACGUCCACUUUAUCCCAUGACACUCUAGAUAAACCAGUCACCAAUUCUUCUUCCAACUUGUCCAAAGAAUCAUCCUCCUUCACAACAGACUCACCCUGCUCACCCUCACAUGCCUUGCAAUGUUCUUCAUACACAAUGUGAGGAUACUUCUCAUUAAAGGAGUCUUCCCACUUGGGUAGUUCAUUAUUACGUCUAAUAGAUGAUGUUCUCCAACCAACAACAUGAUCAUAGCCAACAUUUGAAUAUGCAACUCGGCGCUUGAAUGAACGCAACGCAGACAAGAACUGUAGUUCACCCUUGUCUUCCACCAUGCGUUUAAGUAAUGGAGGCCUCCCUUCAUCAUUAUCGCAAAGAAAAAGGUGCCUCCCUGUUCUUUUAAAUAUCAAAUGGAUUACAUGGAAAGCAGCUUUCUCUAAGGCAGUUACA